UGGCCCUUAUGGGUAGGGCUUCACACGUCAUACAAUGGUCGGUACAGAGGGUUGCCAACCCGCGAGGGGGAGCUAAUCCCACAAAGCCGAUCGUAGUCCGGAUUGUUCUCUGCAACUCGAGAGCAUGAAGUCGGAAUCGCUAGUAAUCGCGGAUCAGCACGCCGCGGUGAAUACGUUCCCGGGCCUU
rnacentral:rRNA from 1 species